GCCGGAGUGGCGGAAUGGCAGACGCACUGGACUUAAAAUCCAGCGGUAGGUGACUACCGUACCGGUUCGAGUCCGGUCUUCGGCA
rnacentral:tRNA from 1 species